CUAACUCCUGAGACUUCUUCAAUAAUCUUCCUUUCUGAAUCCGCCAUAUCUCCCUCCCCUCUACUUAUGAUCUUGUGAU